GACUGCCGGUGACAAACCGGAGGAAGGUGGGGAUGACGUCAAGUCAUCAUGGCCCUUACGGCCAGGGCUACACACGUGCUACAAUGGUCGGUACAAAGGGUUGCCAAGCCGCGAGGUGGAGCUAAUCCCAUAAAACCGAUCGUAGUCCGGAUCGCAGUCUGCAACUCGACUGCGUGAAGUCGGAAUCGCUAGUAAUCGUGAAUCAGAAUGUCACGGUGAAUACGUUCCCGGGCCUUGUACACACCGCCCGUCACACCAUGGGAGUGGGUUGCUCCAGAAGUAGCUAGUCUAACCGCA
rnacentral:rRNA from 1 species